rnacentral:rRNA from 1 species
UACAGAGGGUGCUAGCGUUGUUCGGAAUCAUUGGGCGUAAAGGGCGUGUAGGCGGUUUGUUAAGUCAUGUGUGAAAUCCCUCGGCUCAACCGGGGAACGACGCAUGAAACUGGCAAGCUAGAGUACCAAAGAGGGGGGUGGAAUUCCCGGUGUAGCGGUGAAAUGCGUAGAUAUCAAGAGGAACACCUGAGGCGAAGGCGGGUUGCUAGGCUGACACUGACGCUGAGUGCGCGAAAGCCAGGGGAGCAAACGGG